rnacentral:lncRNA from 1 species
AUUUUGUAAAAGCAUUUGCAGACAAGUAAGCUGUUCAAUAUGAGUUCUUCUAAUAGUGAUUCGUCUACUUCUAGUAGCGAAUCCGAAGAAAUUCUGCUUGCAAUUCAAGCAAGUCGGAGGUUACAAAUGAAGUUUAAGGAAAGGUCUCUCCGAAGAUACGAAACGAAAUUUCUCUCCCAAAGGCGAAGACAGCAGUUUCAAGAGAAGGAUGCUGAGCGAAGACAGCAGUUUCAAGAGAAGGAUGCUGAGUGA